GAUGAACGCUGGCGGCGUGCCUAAUACAUGCAAGUCGAGCGAACAGACGAGGAGCUUGCUCCUCUGACGUUAGCGGCGGACGGGUGAGUAACACGUGGAUAACCUACCUAUAAGACUGGGAUAACUUUGGGAAACCGGAGCUAAUAACGGAUAAUAUAUUGAACCGCAUGGUUCAAUAGUGAAAGACGGUUUUGCUGACACUUUUAGAUGGAUCCGCGCCGCAUUAGCUAGUUGGUAAGGUAACGGCUUACCAAGGCGACGAUGCGUAGCCGACCUGAGAGGGUGAUCGGCCACACUGGAAUUGAGACACGGUCCAGACUCCUACGGGAGGCAGCAGUAGGGAAUCUUCCGCAAUGGGCGAAAGCCUGACGGAGCAACGCCGCGUGAGUGAUGAAGGUCUUCGGAUCGUAAAACUCUGUUAUUAGGGAAGAACAAAUGUGUAAGUAACUAUGCACGUCUUGACGGUACCUAAUCAGAAAGCCACGGCUAACUACGUG
rnacentral:rRNA from 1 species